GACGGAGGAGCAGAAGAACGAGUGGGUCACCAGCCGGUCUUCAGGCUCCCGGGCCAGCAUUCAGACUGGGCAGGAGGUUUGUGGGUGGAAGGGUUCCAGGUGGCCAGAGGGUCGAGACUCAUCUCACAGCCGUGCAAUAGAUGCGUGUCUCUCAGUCGGUCAGCUCUGGCUGGGAUCAGUGUUUAUCUUCAUGUCGGUGGACACCAUCACAGGCACCCGCAAGAAUCAGCGAUCGACGGGGAAGAGGUUUGGGUGCAUGGAGGA
rnacentral:lncRNA from 10 species